GAUAAGAGGGGGGACAACGAGCUGCUCAUGUCACACUCCGUAGGGAAGGAGGGUGGCAUCUCAGUGGGAAAUAUGGGCGAAAAGACUGCGUGCAGCCCGAUACAGAGACGCUGAAUGGAUGGAACCACUGCAACGUCACGCGGAGCUGCAGCCAUGAAGCAGAGGACCAAAGCGCGAGACAACAUUCGGGAGCGCACGCAGCUUGCACGAGCACAUUUAUCAAUUGCAAUCCAUUCUACAGAUCCUUGAUGCUCGUGGAUUGGAGACAUCCGUUAAACAGAGAGAGAGAGAGAGAGAGAGUUUUGCAUGAUGGGCACGUUACAAAGGUCCCAGUUCAACCCUUGGGUUUCUCAUGAGGUGGAAGAGGAUGGGUGGCCAGAGGGGUUGGCUGUUAUCUUUGGUUAUCUAGCUGUAUGAGUGAUAUUCAUUCUUCAUAAAGCUAGAUAACCGAAAGUAACAAGAAUCCCAUUACACACCUGAAAGGCAUCACCCACCUUGCAAACUAUACUCCUCUCAUCCCCUCUUCUCUUAUCCUUCCUAAGCCUCUCUCUCUCUCUCUCUCUCUCUCUCUCUCUCUACUCUCUCACUCUCAAUCUCUGCAUCAUCUUGUGAGAGCAAGUCACAAAAUGGCUUCCAUCAGUACUGAUAGGAAAGACUGACAAUCCGUCUCUCCAUGAUGCCAAGGAAAGGAAACGUUGUAUGGCAAUCUUCCCACUCUGAGUCCUGCUGGUGUUACUGCUCCCCUCCCCUUCGCUGCUCUCCUGCCCCCUUCCUCCCGUCACGAGAUGCAGCUUGCACAAAGCCACCAUCUUAGAUCAUGUGGGCAUUAAAUGGAAGUGGAAUAUAAGCAGUUUUCAAGUCAAGUUGAAUAUCGUGGAAUCCAUUAAAUGGAAGAUGAUUCACGUACCGACAGCUGAUGGAGUCACAUGGGUCUUUACUAUGCAUGUGCCCCAACAUCCAAUAUAAACAGCACUUUAAUUGUUCUUUAUAACUUCAAUCUUGGCAUUUGUGAAGCCUUCAUUUACUGUUACAGGGGCUGUAUGUUUCAAGAGUCUAGUGUGUAUGUAUGAUGUGUGUCUCUAGUUUUCAGUGUGUGUUUACUAUUGAGAAGAUGGGAGGGGAUAUUGCAGGAAACUUACUGUUGUACAGAUCUGGAUCAAAGUACUUAAAACAUUGUGCAUUUAAACAAAAACACUUAGAAUUCUCAGCAUAAAACGGUUCUGUUUGGGUCAUUUUACUAUGGACAAUUUAUAUAAAACAAUUUUUAAAGGUCAACCAUUUCAGUAGAAAGAAAGAAAAUUAAAUGAGAGAGAUAGAGGCUGAGGCUAAAAAAUCUUAGAAACAAAUUUAACCCAGGUCAACACUAAUCUGUAUUGGUAGGCCUUUAUGAGUACAAUCUUUAGCAUAGUGCACUUUAUAAAGUCAUGUUGGGUUAAGUUCAAUAGUUUUCAGUAUUAAAGGAAAAUGUAGAAACUGCUGUUCUAGAAACUGGCCUGUUACUUUCUGUGUACUGUACAUAAUGUAUUUCUUCAGUAACUGAUUACUAAUUGAUAUUUAACAUGAAAUACAUUAUUAGAAAUAAUGUGUGAGGCUCUGUAGAUUCUGCAUGUAUGAAUGUGAGACCCACGGCAGCAGUGAACGGUUCUGCACUCUGAUUGAACAGCUCAGUGUGUUGUGCGUCACACACUUGUUGGAAAGAGAGCUGUUGUCUUUAAUUUCUAUGCAAUUGCAUUGAGCUUGCAAUCACCUGAAAGAGAAGGCAGAUCAGAGCAGUUGUUUAUGAUUCAAAGUACUUUACUGAAGACAUUUAUUGACAGCAGAUUAAAUCUGUUUUAAGGUGAGAGGAAGAGAAAAGAUUAAGCUGAAAUAUUUUAUGCCCACUAAAACUGGUUUCAACAAACUAACUUAAAUGUCCUUUUAGCUUUUAAUUUUAAAAUUAAAAAUUUCAGAACUAAAUUUUAAAGGGGAUGAAAUGCUCUGUCGCUCUGUAUUUUGAGUUACAAUCAAUUACAGCUGAAGAAACAAUUCAUUAUUGCUAUGCAAAUGUUUUACAGUUAUAUUUUAUUACAAUUUGAAGAGAAUUGUGCAAUGUAUUUUAUAAACAGAUUUUUCUGAAAAUAAUCUUUCGUGCAUCAACAAUCAAGUGAAUGUAAAGAUAAUGAAUUGAUGAAAUGGGGCUUUUUACUAUGCAAUUUUUUCAUAUCUUCCAUAAUUGUUUGUUCUUUGUGUAAUUCUUUAGCGAGUUUUUAUUUUCAGUUGUUCAUAGUUCUGUAGUAAUAAUGGUAAUACUUAAAAUCAUGUUUUCAUUUAAUUUUUAACUCUAUGAUUUUAUAAUUUUCCCUAUCGUAUGUGUUUUUUUUCAUGUUGCAGAUGAGUGCAAAUGUGUGAGUUUUUUGUUCAUUAUUUUACAGAUUAUUUUUGUAGUACCACAUGUGCCUUUUAACAAUGUCCUGUUAUGGAUAUUAAUAAAGGUUUACUUUGAA